rnacentral:lncRNA from 1 species
CGGAAGCAGAUUUCGCGAGCGGAGGUCCCACUCUGCACAUCCAUCCCAAGCAGACCUUGGUGUUCCUGGAUUGGUAAAGAAUCGACUUCUCUGCAGACAUCUGAGGUUUCCUCCAUUUUGGCGGGGAGAGACUAAAGGAACAGCUCACUCCACCAUGAUGAUGUUACUCUCCCCAGAGUUUCAGUUUUACAAGAUGAAAAGAGUUCUGGAGAUGGAUGUUGGUGAUGGCUGCACAACAUUCUGAAUGUAGUUAAUACGUCUGACCUGUACACUUAGAGAUGGUUAAGAUAGUAAGUUUUAUGUUAUGUGUAUUCUACCACAGGAAAAAAAUUGCUAUUUAUAGUAAAUACUGAAAUUGAUCAUUUAUUUUAGAACUAUGUAACACUUUGAAGAAUGUAGAGUUUUGCAGUUCUUAGGAUAUCAGCUAAAUCUGACUUGAAGAGACCUACAAUGGAUGCACUUUCUCUUGCUUGGUGGUAAAACUGCACCUUCUGGAAUCCUGAAAAAUAUUUUUCUUGAAUAUAAAUUUAUUGUGCACAAAUAUUUAAUAGAGUCACACUGAUGCCCACAGCCUGAGAAUAUGUUCAUAGAUUACAAAUCCUGUUACAAAUCAAGACUAGGAUAGGUUCUCUUGCUGCAGAUUCUCUCCAGUACUGACCAGAACAACCAAAAUCCGUAAAACAGUCAAGUCUCUGGAAAAAGGUGUGAAGGUUGCUUUGUAGACUUUUAGACAAAGUGCAGAAUUAAAGGAUAUAAUUUGUUGUUCUUAAUUUCAUCUAUUUGAUUUACCUAAUGAGAAGGAAAAUAUUUCCUUAAGGAGCCAUUUCUUGACAUAUUUAUCUUGAUUGGAACCCACAUUAAUCAGAUUUGUCCUUUGGAUUAAGACACUGGUGAGGUUAUCAGCUGCAUUAAAAGAGCUUACCAUCAAAAUGAUGCAUUUUCUACAGAGACAAAAAAGCUUGGAACUCUGGAAUGUUGUGUCAGUGUCCUCAAUAAGUAUUUGGCUUCACUGGGUUUUCCACCUGUUUAGGUUCUCGUGAGCACUGGAGAUCAUUUUCAACAGGAGAGGUAGACCUCCUUUGUGUUGUAAAUACAUUUUUGUGAAGGGAAACAUUAACUUUGGCAGGAGUUCAAUGAAGGGAUCUCUGAGGAAUUGACAUUUAAACCAAGAUUGAAGGAAAUAAGUAUGGGGUGGGAAAUUGUGUUUGGAUUUGGGUGGAAAUUAGGGAUGGCAACAGUGAACAGUGUAGAAGUGACAGCAAUGCUAAAUUGUGUUUAUGAUGUUCUGAGAGAGCAAACAAUGUCAACUCUUGGAUGUCUGAUGGAGGCAUUAAAAAGAUUAGAGACUAAAGAGUAGUAUUGGGG